CCUACGGGUGGCAGCAGUGAGGAAUAUUGGUCAAUGGACGCAAGCCUGAACCAGCGACGCCGCGUGCAGGAUGACGGUCUUCUGAGCUGUAAACUGUUUUUGCACGAAGGUAAAGUCCGUUUGCUGAUCCGCGUUGAAUUUACCGUACGUACAAGGAUAGCCCAACCUCGUGCCAGCAGCCGCGGCAAUACGGUGGGUCCGAGCGGUACCUGGAUUGAUUGGGUUUAACGGGUGCGUAGGCGGUAUGAUAAGUCAAGGGUGAAAUGCCGGCGCUCAACGCCGCAACUGCCUUUCAUACUGGUGAACUGGAGAGUGUGAGCGGAUAGCGGAAUGUAAGGUGUAGCAGUGAAAUGCGUAGAGAUCAUGAGGAACAGCAGUGGCGAAGGCGACUAACCGAAAUAUAACUGACGUUGAGGAGCGAAAGCGUGGGUAGCAAACAGGAUUAGAUACCCGGGUAGUC
rnacentral:rRNA from 1 species